UACAGAGGGUGCGAGCGUUAAUCGGAAUUACUGGGCGUAAAGGGUGUGUAGGUGGCGCCGUAAGUCGGGUGUGAAAUUUCGGAGCUUAACUCCGAAACUGCAUUCGAUACUGCGGUGCUUGAGGACUGGAGAGGAGACUGGAAUUCAUGGUGUAGCAGUGAAAUGCGUAGAGAUCAUGAGGAAGACCAGUGGCGAAGGCGGGUCUCUGGACAGUUCCUGACACUGAGACACGAAGGCCAGGGGAGCAAACGGG
rnacentral:rRNA from 1 species